CCACCUUGUCUUCCACAUUCUCCUCCACUUGCAUUGCCUAUACAAGAACAUCUAAUUGUUGGAGAGGGGAGAGAGAUUGAUAAAAAGAGAAGUCUUGCUUGAAUUAAGAGUUGGUUGAAACUUUCAUUUUUGUAGUUGUACACUGUUAUAGCUCAUAUUUCAUUACCAAAACCAUCCACAAACUCAUUGUAAUCAAAUUCUAGAGCUUUGAUCAAAGAAAGAGUAAUAUUUGCCAAGUUUGAGAAAAAUCAGUGAGUUAACCAUUUUCCACCAUACAUUCUGUUAAACAAUCCCAAAACACCAUUAUAGCUAAAAUUCCAAGUUUUUGAGUUGAGGAUUGAGAGCACAUUUCAUACACUUGAGGGUGAUCAAAAGAGAGUUUGGAAAUCAAAAAGUUCGUCCUUUUCUUGGAAGAUUUUGCUAGGCCUAAUUGGCAGGCCAGCUAAUUAAUUGGCCGGCUGGCCAACUUCUUCUGAGACAGAACAAAGCAGUCUUCUGAUGAUGAGCAUAACGAUUUCCAGUAGUCUUCGAGGCACAUGAAGUUUUUGUUUUUCUUUUAAUUUGAGAGAUUUGUGAGGUUUUAUUUUAUUAUAAUAUUUUUUUCCUCUCUUCCCUUAUCUCGAUAUGUAAUUAUUCGGUGAUGUAAUAAUUUCCCACCCCCGCUUCUUUCUAUCCUGCUAUUUUACGUGCUUUAUUUAUUUGUAGAUAAAUAUCAUAUUUUUCUUUUCAUCAUGUAACACCCCAACUUUUAUUACUCAGAUAAUAUUACCCUUUUCCCUU